rnacentral:rRNA from 1 species
GGGUUGUGAGGUUAAGCGACUAAGCGUACACGGUGGAUGCCCUGGCAGUCAGAGGCGAUGAAGGACGUGCUAAUCUGCGAAAAGCGUCGGUAAGGUGAUAUGAACCGUUAUAACCGGCGAUGUCCGAAUGGGGAAACCCAGUGCAAUUCGUUGCACUAUCGUUAACUGAAUACAUAGGUUAACGAGGCGAACCGGGGGAACUGAAACAUCUAAGUACCCCGAGGAAAAGAAAUCAACCGAGAUUCCCCCAGUAGCGGCGAGCGAACGGGGAGCAGCCCAGAGUCUGAAUCAGCUUGUGUGUUAGUGGAACGGUCUGGAAAGUCCGACGGUACAGGGUGAUAGUCCCGUACACCAAAAUGCACAGGUUGUGAACUCGAAGAGUAGGGCGGGACACGUGGUAUCCUGUCUGAAUAUGGGGGGACCAUCCUCCAAGGCUAAAUACUCCUGACUGACCGAUAGUGAACCAGUACCGUGAGGGAAAGGCGAAAAGAACCCCGGCGAGGGGAGUGAAAAAGAACCUGAAACCGUGUACGUACAAGCAGUGGGAGCACCUUCGGGUGUGACUGCGUACCUUUUGUAUAAUGGGUCAGCGACUUAUAUUCUGUAGCAAGGUUAACCGUAUAGGGGAGCCGCAGGGAAACCGAGUCUUAACUGGGCGUUAAGUUGCAGGGUAUAGACCCGAAACCCGGUGAUCUAGCCAUGGGCAGGUUGAAGGUUGGGUAACACUAACUGGAGGACCGAACCGACUAAUGUUGAAAAAUUAGCGGAUGACUUGUGGCUGGGGGUGAAAGGCCAAUCAAACCGGGAGAUAGCUGGUUCUCCCCGAAAGCUAUUUAGGUAGCGCCUCGUGAACUCAUCUUCGGGGGUAGAGCACUGUUUCGGCUAGGGGGUCAUCCCGACUUACCAACCCGAUGCAAACUACGAAUACCGAAGAAUGUUAUCACGGGAGACACACGGCGGGUGCUAACGUCCGUCGUGAAGAGGGAAACAACCCAGACCGCCAGCUAAGGUCCCAAAGUCAUGGUUAAGUGGGAAACGAUGUGGGAAGGCACAGACAGCCAGGAUGUUGGCUUAGAAGCAGCCAUCAUUUAAAGAAAGCGUAAUAGCUCACUGGUCGAGUCGGCCUGCGCGGAAGAUGUAACGGGGCUAAACCAUGCACCGAAGCUGCGGCAGCGACACUAUGUGUUGUUGGGUAGGGGAGCGUUCUGUAAGCCUGCGAAGGUGUGCUGUGAGGCAUGCUGGAGGUAUCAGAAGUGCGAAUGCUGACAUAAGUAACGAUAAAGCGGGUGAAAAGCCCGCUCGCCGGAAGACCAAGGGUUCCUGUCCAACGUUAAUCGGGGCAGGGUGAGUCGACCCCUAAGGCGAGGCCGAAAGGCGUAGUCGAUGGGAAACAGGUUAAUAUUCCUGUACUUGGUGUUACUGCGAAGGGGGGACGGAGAAGGCUAUGUUAGCCGGGCGACGGUUGUCCCGGUUUAAGCAUGUAGGCUGAUUGUCCAGGCAAAUCCGGAUAAUCAAGGCUGAGGUGUGAUGACGAGGCACUACGGUGCUGAAGUAACAAAUGCCCUGCUUCCAGGAAAAGCCUCUAAGCAUCAGGUAACAUUAAAUCGUACCCCAAACCGACACAGGUGGUCAGGUAGAGAAUACCAAGGCGCUUGAGAGAACUCGGGUGAAGGAACUAGGCAAAAUGGUGCCGUAACUUCGGGAGAAGGCACGCUGGUGUGUAGGUGAAGUCCCUGCGGAUGGAGCUGAGACCAGUCGAAGAUACCAGCUGGCUGCAACUGUUUAUUAAAAACACAGCACUGUGCAAACACGAAAGUGGACGUAUACGGUGUGACGCCUGCCCGGUGCCGGAAGGUUAAUUGAUGGGGUUAUCCGUAAGGAGAAGCUCUUGAUCGAAGCCCCGGUAAACGGCGGCCGUAACUAUAACGGUCCUAAGGUAGCGAAAUUCCUUGUCGGGUAAGUUCCGACCUGCACGAAUGGCGUAAUGAUGGCCAGGCUGUCUCCACCCGAGACUCAGUGAAAUUGAACUCGCUGUGAAGAUGCAGUGUACCCGCGGCAAGACGGAAAGACCCCGUGAACCUUUACUAUAGCUUGACACUGAACAUUGAGCCUUGAUGUGUAGGAUAGGUGGGAGGCUUUGAAGCGUGGACGCCAGUCUGCGUGGAGCCAACCUUGAAAUACCACCCUUUAAUGUUUGAUGUUCUAACGUUGGCCCCUGACCGGGGUUGCGGACAGUGUCUGGUGGGUAGUUUGACUGGGGCGGUCUCCUCCCAAAGCGUAACGGAGGAGCACGAAGGUUAGCUAAUCCUGGUCGGACAUCAGGAGGUUAGUGCAAUGGCAUAAGCUAGCUUGACUGCGAGCGUGACGGCGCGAGCAGGUGCGAAAGCAGGUCAUAGUGAUCCGGUGGUUCUGAAUGGAAGGGCCAUCGCUCAACGGAUAAAAGGUACUCCGGGGAUAACAGGCUGAUACCGCCCAAGAGUUCAUAUCGACGGCGGUGUUUGGCACCUCGAUGUCGGCUCAUCACAUCCUGGGGCUGAAGUAGGUCCCAAGGGUAUGGCUGUUCGCCAUUUAAAGUGGUACGCGAGCUGGGUUUAGAACGUCGUGAGACAGUUCGGUCCCUAUCUGCCGUGGGCGCUGGAGAAUUGAGGGGGGCUGCUCCUAGUACGAGAGGACCGGAGUGGACGCAUCACUGGUGUUCGGGUUGUCAUGCCAAUGGCACUGCCCGGUAGCUAAAUGCGGAAGAGAUAAGUGCUGAAAGCAUCUAAGCACGAAACUUGCCCCGAGAUGAGUUCUCCCUGAGACU